rnacentral:lncRNA from 1 species
CUUCUAUUCACAGCUCUUGUGUCAUUUGGGAUGACAAAAAUCCACCCUGAAAUGCACUGAGCCAAUGAAGAACUGGCUCCCAGAGGGUGGGAGGAUAUUGUAAAGCUGGCUCUGCAAUACCGAAGUUUUGUCAUCAGCAAAAUAAUCUGUGCAGCUCAACGUUUUUGCUCACAUAUCUACAUUGUAGACCCCUACCAUGCACAGUCUCUCAAUCCUGAACCAAAAGACUAAAAAAAGGCAAGCAAUCUUCAGUACUUUAAGAUGAAGGGACCUCUCUAGCUUCCUGGCUGAAUCAGGGAACAAUUUAGGUUGUAAGGGGAUUGCAGGCAGUUUUUUUGUUAAGUCCCUGUCCAUUCAAAGCAGGGCCACCUUUGAUACUGGACUAGCCUGCUCAUGUCCAGAUGAAUUUUAAACUUAAUGGUUAAACAUAAUGGUUAACCCUAUUAAUCAGGCUAUUCAACUCAUUGUUAUACAUUCAGCUGUGAAAUAUACAAAACCUGCAUGCCUUGAACUAAUCUGUGCUGCUCUGGGGAUGCACUGAUAACUCUGCUGGAAAAGUCUGAGUAAAGGCUUUCACUAGAAAGUCACAAGGUGGCUGGAGUUCAUUAAGAAAUGAACUUAAAUUAACUCAUUUAAUUCUUGAUUUUAGAUAAAGAUUCCCCCCAAUUCCUCCUACUUCUUGACUCCUUUUCAGCUUAGCAUGUAAGUAAAAAACAGUCCAUCAAAGAAGAGUUUUGUUGUAAGCUACUUUUUAAUCACAGCAUUAGUUGACAUCCAGUCAGCAUGACAAUUACAUUUUCCUUCUCAAAAUGCCAACAGACAAAAUAAGCCUAGCAGAAACCUUCAGAAGAAAAUGAGGAAAUGUCUGAAGACACUGAACUCGGAAUGACAGAAAAUAACGAGUUCCUGAAAAACUGCAUCUUGUGGACUUGGAGACAAAUGUACCAGAGAAACCAAAACUACAUUAAUAGAGGAGACCUUAAAUGGCCACUGUGAUCUGUAAUUGUCUAUAUACACAUUAUAUACAUAUGACUGUUUGAGAACCUGUAUUCAUGAAUGCGUACAGUCUACAUCCUGCACACAUUAAUUCGUCUGAUGGUUUUUAAAAAGAAUUUGUUUUAAACUACUGUCAAAAAGUAUUUACCCUGUGGUGACACUGCAAACAUGGUUACUAGUUACUACAUGGUUUUAGUCUUACCCUCCUAGUGCCACUGCUCAUUAACUAUGAACUGAUUUAGCAAAUCUGUCAGUUAACACAGUAAAUUCUACAUUUCUUUCUUACUGUAUUUGCACAUGUAACAGAUUGGUACAAAUCUUUCCAAUAAAUUGUGAAGUUCAUUGAUACA